GCCUAGCUGCCAAAGUAGAAUUAACAUCAGCUUAUUGAUGGUACUGUAUAAGUGACACUACAGUUGAAUAACAGGGAUGAUAUAAAAGAUAACCUCUAAACUCAUUUCAUCAAAUUGUAAAUGAUAGAGAGAUGGUGGAAAUUAGAUUAAAAAGUAAAUUAGAAAAAAACUCCAAA